rnacentral:rRNA from 1 species
GGUUAAGUGACUAAGCGUACACGGUGGAUGCCUUGGCAGUCAGAGGCGAUGAAAGACGUAGUAACUUGCGAUAAGCCCAGAUUAGGUAGUAACAACCAUUUGAGUCUGGGAUUUCUGAAUGGGGAAACCCACGUGCAUAAGCACGUAUCCUUACCUGAAUACAUAGGGUAAGGAGGCGAACCGGGGGAACUGAAACAUCUAAGUACCCCGAGGAAAAGAAAUCAACCGAGAUUCCGAAAGUAGCGGCGAGCGAAAUUGGACUAGCCCUUAAGCUUUACACGCGUUAGACGAACGGUCUGGAAAGUCCGACGAUACAGGGUGAUAGUCCCGUAGUUGACGACGUGUGUUCAGUGAAAUCGAGUAGGGCGGGACACGUGAUAUCCUGUCUGAAUAUGGGGGGACCAUCCUCCAAGGCUAAAUACUACUGACUGACCGAUAGUGAACCAGUACCGUGAGGGAAAGGCGAAAAGAACCCCUGUGAGGGGAGUGAAAUAGAACCUGAAACCGUGUACGUACAAGCAGUAGGAGCAGGCUUUGUCCUGUGACUGCGUACCUUUUGUAUAAUGGGUCAGCGACUUAUAUUCAGUGGCAAGGUUAACCAUCUAGGGGAGCCGUAGGGAAACCGAGUCUUAACUGGGCGUUCAGUCUCUGGAUAUAGACCCGAAACCAGGUGAUCUAGCCAUGGGCAGGUUGAAGGUUGAGUAACAUCAACUGGAGGACCGAACCGACUAAUGUUGAAAAAUUAGCGGAUGACUUGUGGCUAGGGGUGAAAGGCCAAUCAAACCUGGAGAUAGCUGGUUCUCCCCGAAAGCUAUUUAGGUAGCGCCUCGGACGAAUACUACUGGGGGUAGAGCACUGUUAAGGCUAGGGGGUCAUCCCGACUUACCAACCCUUUGCAAACUCCGAAUACCAGUAAGUACUAUCCGGGAGACACACGGCGGGUGCUAACGUCCGUCGUGGAGAGGGAAACAACCCAGACCGCCAGCUAAGGUCCCAAAUUACUACUAAGUGGGAAACGAUGUGGGAAGGCUCAGACAGCCAGGAUGUUGGCUUAGAAGCAGCCAUCAUUUAAAGAAAGCGUAAUAGCUCACUGGUCGAGUCGGCCUGCGCGGAAGAUGUAACGGGGCUAAGUAGUAAACCGAAGCUGCGGCAAUGUGCUUUUGCACAUUGGGUAGGGGAGCGUUCUGUAAGCGGUUGAAGGUGUGUGGUAACGCAUGCUGGACGUAUCAGAAGUGCGAAUGC